CGGGCUUGGUUAAUGCUGAAGCAAGGACACAGCGCAGCUGGCUCGCUGGUCACGGGAAAGUUCUGGAAAGCAAUGUGGCCAUUGAGAAGCCCUCAUUCUGCAAACUUCCGCUCAUGGGGACUGAAUACAGGCUGCUCCUCUGCUUAAACAGAAUUAAUGAAGUCGGAUUAAUCUCUCAGUCCCCAGCAGCUUCUGUUUUGAGAAAUGGGGCCAGACUGCCAGGCUUUUGUGUGAAUUACAGAAACAGGAUUAAUGGCACGGAAAUCAUCUGGAAUCCUCACAGCCUGAUCUUUUGAAUCCCCUGGAUCCUUAGGGUGGAUUGUGUGCCAUUAGAUCAGAUGACUGCUGAUCCAGAGAGACCUUUCUAAGGGCACAGUGCAUGAUACAAGAAUAGUAGCUGAAGUUAAUUGGUGUUUAGCACUCAGCUUUCUCUGCUACAUGCAUGGUGGUCUCCAUAAUUGGACAGAGCACACACUUUCUCCACUUGGAUAGACUCCAGUGCAAAUCUUGGUUUCACAAUUUAGAAACUGUGUGGCAUUGAAUGUGUUGGACAGACAUAUUUGGCAUCCCUCUCUAUUUACCCAACUUCGAAUCUUCUCUCUCCAUCCAACUUCUACAGCACAGACAGUUCUUGCAUGUUGCCAUCCCACAUUUUGAUAGGAAAGAUAAAUAUGCGACCAAGGAAUUAUAUUGAAAAUACUGUUCAUGGGCAGUGCUGAGCUAUAGACUGAAAAACUCAAUUUAUCCACAACAUGAGUGUUAACUCUUAAAUAGAAUUGGAGAUUAGAAGGUUCACUGCAGAAUUCAAGGCAAGCCAUACGUGUUGAAAUACACAAAGGAGGUGCAAAGAGUUUUGGUGUAGUGAAAAGAGCAUUUUGAGAGCUAUCAGGAGAUUGGACUCAUCAUUAGAAGUCAUAUGGAUAGAAGUUUGAAUUCCAGGUAUACUGCUUACUGCUUGUGUGGCCUUGAGGAAGCUAUUUUACUUUGAUGAGACUCAAUUUCUCCAUCUGAAGAACAGCGUGAAUACAAUCCACCACAUAAAG